UUUUUUUUUCAGGUAGCUUUUUCUUAUGCCUAUUUAGCUAGCGGGCCAUUGGUCAUAGCCAAAAUUCGUCGAAGGGACAAAACCAAAAUAAAUAAGAGAAAGAAAGGGAAGUUUUUUCUUUCUUUCAAUCCAAAUAAGAGAACAAAGAAAGCAUUCAAAAAUGAAAGUUAGAUAAAGAAGUGUUAGUAAGAACUAGCACUAGACUUCUUCCCCCCUUUCUUUUCGACUUUUUCUCUCUCCUUUUGUUUGUGCUUCCACCCGGGCUUUUCAUUCUCUUUUAUAGAGACCCGAGGAAAUUCUAUAUAAUAAUAAAUGUAGAAAGGUGAGGGUGAGGUACUUUCCCCGGCAUACGGAAAGAAAAUCCAGGAUGACGGCUUUCAAAAGACGAGUAAGGGACGGGGAGAGGGCGACUGAAAAGGAGGCUCGACCUACAGGGAGAGGGAGGCUCUCGAAACCAAACGAGACUAGAAAGAACAUGGGAAUUCGCACCAUUCAUAUGAGUGCUUUUGUUUUGUCUCUUCGAGACAACAAAACAAAAGGACAGCCCUCUCUAUAUCUCGGUCUCGGUUUAGCAUCAUAUNAGUUCUCCUUGUUCUCCUCUUUGAAUUUAACUAUUGAGUUUAGGUUGAUGCUUGCAAAAAUGUCAAGCUGACAGGGUUAGGUAGAAGUAGUUACAAUAGCAAAGGGGGGCUAGAAACUAGUUGUGUGAGUGGAAUGACCCAACUGGACCUAGUCAGCCUGAACUAUUUUGCAGUUCUAGAGGACCAUGAACAAGAAGAGGCAAAGAUGCCAGAUUUGGACAAUGCUGAACUAGAAGAGAUUGCUUAGGAUAAGUGUUUGGGUAAUAAAGCCGAAGAAGGUGUAGUCAAGGAGAGAACUCCCGGGGAGAGUGAUUUGGCUCAUAGAAGUGAGGAUCUAAAAGAGAGGAUCAACUAUAGCAGUGACUAAGGGAGACUUGUUCUGUGAUAAACAAAUGACUUCAAACCUUAGGGCAUCCAAAAGAGGUGAACCUGAGAAAAAAAGUAAGAGUAAGUGUUCAAGUACUAGUGCUAUGACCUUAAAGGUGGAAGAUCCUCCCCUAGUUCGAAUCAUCUUGAAUGAAGAGUGGCUGAACAAGAUGCAAAACAUAUCAACAAUAUUAAAUUCUAAGAAAGAGGGCGGGAGUCCUUCCUGUGUAUGUGCCUUUAUUUAUAUUCUUUCUAUUUUUGAAUUACCAAUGGAGAAUCUUUCUAAAAAAAUCUCUCUGGCAAAAUGCAAUUCGUCUAGUCAAAUUAAAGAUGCACCUUGCUUUUUUUUUUUCAGGUAGCUUUUUCUUAUGCCUAUUUAGCUAGCGGGCCAUUGGUCAUAGCCAAAAUUCGUCGAAGGGACAAAACCAAAAUAAAUAAGAGAAAGAAAGGGAAGUUUUUUCUUUCUUUCAAUCCAAAUAAGAGAACAAAGAAAGCAUUCAAAAAUGAAAGUUAGAUAAAGAAGUGUUAGUAAGAACUAGCACUAGACUUCUUCCCCCCUUUCUUUUCGACUUUUUCUCUCUCCUUUUGUUUGUACUUCCACCAUGGCUUUUCAUUCUAUUUUAUAGAGACCCGAGGAAAUUCUAUAUAAUAACAAAUAUAGAAAGGUGAGGGUGAGGUACUUUCCCC
rnacentral:lncRNA from 1 species